rnacentral:lncRNA from 1 species
UUUGCCGAAAAAACUCAUCAAAGGAAUCCCCUAUUUUCUAAGUUUUUCUUUCUCUUUUUCGGCCAUCGAUGCCGCCGCCCAUUAAUGCCAGACCCUUGGUUGGGUUCCUUGGCCUCCUUAUGACCCCCCAUGGCCGAGCCAUGACCGCCAUUGAGUGACCAAUAGCCAAAGCCCAAUGAAACUCCCCUCCCUUGUUCGGCCA